rnacentral:rRNA from 1 species
AACGAACGCUGGCGGCAUGCCUAACACAUGCAAGUCGAACGAACCCUCCGGGUCUUUUGGCGCCCGGUUUCGUCACGCGUGGGAACCUGCACUUAUGUUUGGCAUACCUCUCCGAAAGGGGUGCUAAUACCGGAUAAUAUCUUCUGCCCAAUGAUCUAUUGCCUUUGGAGGGGCCCGCGUUGGAUUCGCUCGUUGUUAGGGUAAUAGCCUACGAAGGCGAGCAUUCAUAGCUGGUUAGAGAGGAAGCUCAGCGACACUGGGACUGAGACACGGCCCAGAAUCUUACGGGAGGGGGGAGUGGGGAAUAGUGGAAAAUGGGGGAAGGCCAGAUCGAGCUAGGAUGGGAGAGUGAUGAAGGCAGUAGGGAAGUAAAGCGUUAUUAACCGGGAUGAUAAUGACGGUACCGGGAGAAUAAGCUCCGGCUAACUACGUG